rnacentral:rRNA from 1 species
GUCGAGCGAACAGACGAGGAGCUUGCUCCUCUGACGUUAGCGGCGGACGGGUGAGUAACACGUGGAUAACCUACCUAUAAGACUGGGAUAACUUCGGGAAACCGGAGCUAAUACCGGAUAAUAUAUUGAACCGCAUGGUUCAAUAGUGAAAGACGGUUUUGCUGUCACUUAUAGAUGGAUCCGCGCCGCAUUAGCUAGUUGGUAAGGUAACGGCUUACCAAGGCAACGAUGCGUAGCCGACCUGAGAGGGUGAUCGGCCACACUGGAACUGAGACACGGUCCAGACUCCUACGGGAGGCAGCAGUAGGGAAUCUUCCGCAAUGGGCGAAAGCCUGACGGAGCAACGCCGCGUGAGUGAUGAAGGUCUUCGGAUCGUAAAACUCUGUUAUUAGGGAAGAACAAAUGUGUAAGUAACUAUGCACGUCUUGACGGUACCUAAUCAGAAAGCCACGGCUAACUACGUGCCAGCAGCCGCGGUAAUACGUAGGUGGCAAGCGUUAUCCGGAAUUAUUGGGCGUAAAGCGCGCGUAGGCGGUUUUUUAAGUCUGAUGUGAAAGCCCACGGCUCAACCGUGGAGGGUCAUUGGAAACUGGAAAACUUGAGUGCAGAGGAGGAAAGUGGAAUUCCAUGUGUAGCGGUGAAAUGCGCAGAGAUAUGGAGGAACACCAGUGGCGAAGGCGACUUUCUGGUCUGUAACUGACGCUGAUGUGCGAAAGCGUGGGG